rnacentral:rRNA from 1 species
UACGUAGGGGGCAAGCGUUGUCCGGAUUUAUUGGGCGUAAAGAGCGUGUAGGCGGCUAGAUAGGUCCGUUGUGAAAACUCGAGGCUCAACCUCGAGACGUCGAUGGAAACCAUCUGGCUAGAGUCCGGAAGAGGAGAGUGGAAUUCCUGGUGUAGCGGUGAAAUGCGCAGAUAUCAGGAGGAACACCGAUGGCGAAGGCAGGUCUCUGGGCAUUAACUGACGCUGAGGAGCGAAAGCAUGGGGAGCGAACAGG